UUUGGCUGGGUGAGAAGCUUGGGAGUGCAGGGAGGGGCAGGCUGAGAUCAACAUGGGCAGGCCCAAGAAGAAAUGCCUGUGAUCCUAAAAAUCCGCUCAGGGAGCGGCGCCAAGAUCUCAUCUGCUGUCAGCAAGUGCCAGGGGAGGAUGAAUCCUGCCCAUGCUGUGCGUGUCCAGCCAGAGGCCUCCAACCCCUCUCCCCAGCUCAGGUGGAAGAUCUCUGUAGGGUGCUCCCAGCCCUGGGACCUUUUGGAAGGGAGGAGAUCCAGGACAGGACAAGCCUUUGCUGACAUCCCCCAUGAAGGGUCUUGAAGGCUUCAGCAACAUGCAGAGGAGCUCCUCCACACCUCUCAUCAUCUUCAUCAAGUUCUCCAAACGAGACAAUCUUCCUCCAAGCUGCCACGCCGCGCUGCCCACCAAGAUGCAGUGGAGAAGCUCCAGCUUGCGCCCAGUGGUCUGACCCAUGGUGAAGAGCCAGGCUCCUUAGCGCCAGUGCCCUGGCUUUUUUUCCCAGGGUCUCCAUAUCUCACCAACUUGGAUCCGCUCAGCUUCCAAAAUAAACCAAACUCAGCUGUAAGACAGAGCUUGUGCCUGGUGCACUUGACCAAGUACUUUGUAUAGACCUGGAGAUUGCUGAAACCACGUGGGCUGUGAGGCAAGAGCAGUGCUGCGAGUGAAAGCAAAGAGUUAAAAAUGAGCAAGCCAAAGGAAGGGGUUAAAAAAAGGCAAACAGGCCAGAGUUUAAAAAAAAAGAAGUAGAAGGCGGCAAAGAGCAGAAAAGGAAACCUCGUGAGUGUCUCUUCCCCUCUUGGCUUCUCCUCGCUCAGAUGGUGAAGAGGAGGGGAGGCUGGAGCCCGCGGGUGUGCUCCCGCAGCCGGGCUUGUCUCCCAGAGGAACCCCUGCGACUCCAGCACCAAGCAAACGUCUUCCCUGGCAAGAGCAGGAGACGGACUCUGAGCUCCCUAAUGCAUCCGCGCGUUUCCUGAACACCCUUAAGAGGCACAGGCACUCCAAAAAAGCUGGUUAUCUCUGGGUCUGAACAUUUCCACGAAAGCCAGGAGCUGCGGCGAGAGGCUAAAAGCACCAUUUCCUCCAGCGAAACACGGCUGGGGCGCUUACGCCACCCGGCAGCCCACGAUUUGGAAACGCAGCUUUUGGGACGAGCUCUUUAAUGCAAGAGCGGGCUCUGCUUCCCCGUGGGUGUCCCAGCCGCCGCCGGAGCGGGAGCCGGGAGCCAAGCGGCUUUGCUCCCUUCCCCCUUCUCAGCUCCAUCAGCAGCUUGUUGAGACGAGCCGGCGCUGGCUGCCGCACACUUGGCAGCGAGGGAGCGGGGAGCCUUGCCCAGGUUUGGCUGGGCGAGCUCCCGGGUCGCGCACGGCAGAUUUGGGAUACAAUACACUAAAUAUGUUGUCCGCUUGUAAUUUGGGGAACAAGGAGGUGCCGCAGCGGUGCAGGCACAGCGGUACAGGGUGCGGGCGCAGCCAACACGUGGCGGGGGGGAUGAAGGAUAACCACGCACGGUCCCAUUACCACACCAGAAAAUAAUUAUAUGGUUACAGGAAGAUGGGAAGGAAAGAGAGGGGGAGCCCAGGGGUCCCUGGAUGAUUUUUAAGGUGAUUGCUCCUCAGAUGAGCUUUUGCCAAUGGGGCUCGGUCGGGGACCUGCAAGAGAAGAGCCCCCUGGCCAGAGCAGGUGCUGCCUUUGUGGGUUUUGCCUUUACGUGGCCCGUCCAGUGCCUGUCAAAUGCUGUUUUUUCAGACUAACAGGGAACACUCGUGUCACAUUCCCAAACAGUUUCCUACUUGUGUUAGAAUAAGAAAGCCAUUUUUUAACGUGUGAGUGGGGCACCUCCAUGGGCCUUAGUCACAUGGAGCCUGAAAAAAGCACACUGACAUCGAUUUUUCAGCUAACAGUGACAAUUCAUGCAGAAAAAAAAGGAUCAUUUUGCCCCAUUUUUUCCCCCCCUAAGAGUUUGUUGCAUCAAGUAGGGGCUGAGGGCCAACAGCUGGAAGCAAGAGAGAGGCAGUGCAGGCAAUCGGGAGAUUUGCAACCUGGCCAAGGGCUCUCCAAACCUCUGCCAGAGCCCGCCUCUCCUCCUUCUGCAGUCCCCUCCGAAAAGCAGGGGGAGAAGAGGAGCAGGCCCGGGGCGUCGGUGGCGCUGUUCGGAGCCCACUGCGAGCACGGGUUUCGUUGCCGAUGUUUACAUCGUUCUUUCCUGUUUCCUUUUUUGUAUUACAAUUGGAAAUCCCGAGCGCGGGCAGGCUGCUGUUGAACACUCCUCGCAGCUGCACCACGAAGCGUAAACAGCCGGCGAGCCCUUUAUUGCACUAUAUAUGGACAAGGAGCCGAACUCUCCUUUUAAUUUUGAAAUGAAACACCCCAAAGGAAGCACACGCUUUCUUUUUAAGACAUGCUUACUCCUUGCAGUUUAUUUCACCUGAGAUGGCUCUGCUCAAAGCGUUCCCUACAAAAGAAAAGCAGAAUUGCAGCACAGAGCGAGCAUCCGAGGCACCGGUUUCUGCCUUCUGAGUGAAAUGUUGCAGGCUGUUUUGUUUAUAAUAUGGAAAAGAGCCCGGAGGGUGUUUGGAAGGAAGCAAAAUUGCAAACGGCUGAAUUGCAUAACCAGGAAUCACAGCCGCGUAUCACCAUCUUCCCUGCAACUUAGAAACGACACAGUAGCGGCCGAGAGCUGCGUAGGUCAGAGCUUCCUCCGCGGAUGCCGAUGUGAUGAAUCCCACCGCCUCUGCGGAGCUUUCCUGGGUCUCCCUGUUCAUGCGAGACGCCGCGAAUAACUCCGUUGCAAAAAGCUUUCCUGACGUCACGUUUUGCUUCGCCGUAUGCGGCUUUGCGGAUAAUCUUUUCAAGCACCUCCCAGUGUCCUGCUCGGCAUCCGGUACGCUUCCGCAUGGGAGAAUCAGCAAAAUUGCAUUAAAAGGGCGUUAGGAUCAGACCACCAGCUUUCGCGUCAGUGACUGGAACAGGCACGUUGCAAUAACCAGGUCGCUGAAAAAAGUAAAACAGCUGGGAUUAUUUCACUUGAAAACAAUAAGUAUGUAAAUUAUUCUUCGUGGACACACACCUGCUCCCCUUCUCCCCAGACCAGCCCCUGACCACACAACGUUUACGGCAGUGGCUCUGGAUCCGAGCAGGGUUCAUAGCUGCUUGUAAAUCUGGGAGGUUUUUCCCCCUCCAGCUGGUCACGAGCGUUGAGCCUGGGAAGGUCACGUAAUCUGCUCCCAAGCAGAGGUUGCACAGAAGCACAUGCUCCAGCCCACCGCCCUCCUGCUCACCACGGCCUGCAAGAACUUCACCUCCUCCCAACAGCCCAAUUCAAGCUUUUCCUUUACGUUGGAAGAAGUUACGCUCUGCAAAACAGAGGUGAGCAAGGCAGGUGCACUGAAUCCCGGCAGUCGGCUGCUUGCAGGAGACGGUGCUCGGCCACGGCUUCCUCUUGCGGCUCUCGGCUUGCCAGAAGUCUCUGUGGGGAGAUGAACCGUUUUGUGCGGCCACCAAGAAAGCCCUCCUACCCCACAAGAAGUGGUUUUGCAAGCCUUGCUUCUAGAAGGUAAUUAAUCACUCGCAGCAUGUGAAGCAAGCAAAAAGUCCCGUUGAGACACGAUUAACUUCAAAUCGAUGGAAUUGCUCAUGCUGUUAGCACAGUCCUCGGCGUAAUUUUGCCGUGGGUCAACUUGCACACCUCCAAAUAACUCACCCAGGCAUGGGUGAGGAGUUGGCAUGGGCUGUGGACAAUUUCCCGGAGGCAGCAGGGAUAAAGCAACGCUCCUCCUGGAGCUCAGAGACUCGAGUAGUGGGGAUGUGGCCAGCUUUGUCAGUGGUCCUCAAGGUGUUAGUGCUGUUGAAUUCACUAAUGUUGUUGUUGCUGUUGAGGUCAAAAUUGGGAAUAAUAAGUGAAACUCUCCCAAAUCCAGCUGGCUUUUGUUAAGGCUAGGAUUUUAUGCAAAUGUUCUCCGCAUGUGUACCAAUACGGCAGGCGCUCAGGUGCUGCACGAGAACAAGCCGUUGAAGGCAAUAAUUUUAGAAGAUGUAGCCUCCAUUUUAGAUGGACGCCAUGUCCCACAGAAGAGGCUCCUCACUUCCAAUGGCCAACCUAACAGUGCCGACAAGCUCUGAGGUCCUGUGGGAUGAAACACCCCAGAAACAGGGAGGGAAGUCUGAUUUCCCAACUGGAUGGCCCUGACGAGAUGUGGCUUUGAUUAGUGCCUGCGCCUCGAGUCUGGGAGGGCUUUCAGCUCUUCUGCUGGUCUCAGCUGUCAACGCUCGAUUUGGGAAGGAGGGUGAUGAGCAAUAAUGGGUCGGUUGACUUGCGUAACUCGGCGCAAUUGCAGGCAUCAGGAAGACGAGCUCCUGUGUAUCAGGACACCCAAACGGCUGCACCCGAACUCACAGAGGAUGCUUUCUAGGAAAUUUCCUACUUUUCUUUAACAGCACGGUCGAUAAAAAUCUACUUAAUUUUCUCCGCUCCUCCCCACAUCUCCUCUUCAAAUGUCUUGAUCCCAUGAGCUGAGGAUUUUAACAGCAUCAUGUUCCAAGGACUGCAAGAAUUAGUGACUCUAAGAUUGACACCUUGAUUCUCCCAGUCUGGAGUUGCUCAGAUCACCGUAUGUGUCGGUCCUUUGUAACAGCAACAACAUGUAGGAAAACCUGGUAAAAACCCUCCAGUUUAUUUGGUUAGUUUGGUAUCGGUGGCUUGGCUCUGAUUUGCCUCCUGUCAAAACAAAAUGAAUGAUAUUAAUAGAUUCAAAAUGUCAGUUAAGCAGUUUAUCCUGAGCUUGUGUAUUCAGAAAUGAAUAAUCGCUUGAGGUCGAGGGACAGAGGCCAAAGCGAAAUGCCGGGCAGAGCAGUGGGUGGGUAAGCCCAAGCCAAACUUAUUCAACUGCUCAGCAUUGUUGGACUCAAACUAACAUUUAAUAUUAUUUGAAAUUAAAGCUGUGAGUAAUGGUCA